CUAUCUGGUGCUAUCAGUUGCAAUCAGGUCGCUAUCAGGUACUAUCAAGUGCUAUCAGGUACUAUCAGUUGCUAUCAAGUGCUGUCAGUUGCUCUCAGGUGGUAUCA